GUGCUACGUGGGACACCACCUCAGCAUGGCCUGGUGAGCAGUGCUAGGUCCACGCCCAGGAUCUGAACCUGUGAAACCCUGGGUGCGGACCUACACACUGCUUGGCAAGCCAUGCUGUGGUAGGCGCCCCACAUAUAAAGUAGAGGAAGAUGGGCACGGGUGUUAGCUCAGGGCCAGUCUUCCUCAGCAAAAAGAGGAGGAUUGGUGGCAGACAUUAGCUCAGGGCUAAUCUUCCUCAAAAAAAAUAAAACCCACAAAAAGUCUGUUAACUGCCCUAGACUUGUAACUCAAGCAUAUAAAAAGCAUGUCGGGGGGCUGGCCCCGGCUCGCGUGCUCCGCUGUGGCGGCCCGGGGUUUCGCCGGUUCGGAUCCUGGGUGCGGACACGGCACUGCUCAUCAGGCCAUGCUGAGGUGGCCUCCCACAUGCCACAACUAGAAGGAGUCACAACUAAAACAUACAACUAUGUACUUCGGGGAUUUGGGAAGAAAAAGCAGAAAGAAAAAAGAUUGGCAACAGUUGUUAGCUCAGGUGCCAAUCUUUAAAAAAAAAAAAAAAAGAAAAGCAUGCCAUUUUCCUAAUUUAAGAGACGACCCAACAGGACAUCCUUCACAUAUGCAGUGAAAAAAGCUGCUUUGGGAUCUACCCACAUUCAUUUCCUCUUACUAUUACUUUUAUCAUCAAUGUUCAAGGAUACAUCUUCAACCUGAGCACACACAAAUUUUCACCAAAAGAGUCAACUACAGUACUAUGGAACGGCUUUCUGCCCAGUGUCCGAGGCUCACUGGAAGUACCCUCUUCAGGACACAAGCAAGCACGUCGUCUUCUGGGUGUACCCCAGCAUAACACAUCUCAAAACUUUCAGCAGCACAAGACUCUGCAGAAUGUUUAUGACUUAACUUUUGAUGACUCGACUCAGAUCAUUUGCUUGCACUGUGAUUUUCUCUGAAGUAAAAUGUGUGAAACUAUUUUUGAACUCCUAAUUUGCCAAAUGUAUUUUCAAAAUGCAAACUAAAAGCGUAAACACUAAACAGAUGAUUUAACUCAGUUUUCUUAGUACUUAACUCUGAGCAUUUGUG
rnacentral:lncRNA from 1 species